rnacentral:rRNA from 1 species
AUUGAACGCUGGCGACAUGUCUUACACAUGGAAGUCGAACGGCGGCACGGGUGCUUGCACCUUGUGGCGAGUGGCGAACGGGUGUGUAUUACAUCGGAACAUUUCCUGUAUUUGGGGAUAGCCCGUCGAAAGCCGGAUUAAUACGGCAUACGAUCUACGGAUGAAAGCGGGGGACCUUCGGGCCUCGCGCCAUGGGGUUGGCGGAUGGCUGAUUAGCUAGUUGGUGGGGUAAAGGCCUACCAAGGCGACGAUCAGUAGCUGGUCUGAGAGGACGACCAGUCACACUGGGACUGAGACACGGCCCAGACUCCUACGGGAGGCAGCAGUGGGGAAUUUUGGACAAUGGGCGAAAGCCUGAUCCAGCAAUGCCGCGUGUGUGAAGAAGGCCUUCGGGUUGUAAAGCACUUUUGUCCGGAAAGAAAUCCUUGGCCCUAAUACGGUCGGGGGAUGACGGUACCGGAAGAAUAAGCACCGGCUAACUACGUG